UACGUAGGGUGCAAGCGUUGUCCGGAAUUAUUGGGCGUAAAGAGCUCGUAGGCGGUCUGUCGCGUCGGCUGUGAAAACCCGGGGCUCAACCCCGGGCCUGCAGUCGAUACGGGCAGACUAGAGUGCGGUAGGGGAGACUGGAAUUCCUGGUGUAGCGGUGAAAUGCGUAGAUAUCUGGAGGAACACCGGUGGCGAAGGCGGCGUUCUGGACUGUAACUGACACUGAGGAACGAAAGCCAGGGGAGCAAACGGG
rnacentral:rRNA from 1 species